rnacentral:sRNA from 1 species
GUUGCCAGCCAGCAAAUGCGGCAGAUUGUGCACCACUUGCAGGGGCAGGCUACUGAGCGGUGGCAAGGCCGCCGUCUGCGACAUAUUGCCCAGCAGCAGUUGUUGCUGGUGUUGCUGCUGUUGUUGCUGUUGCUGCUGCUGCUGCUGUUGUUGCAACAACUGCAGCUGAUUCUGCUGGUGUUGCAGGCCAUGUUGCUGCUGCUGCUGCUGCUGUUGCAGUGCCAAUGCUGGCGGGGGCAUUU